rnacentral:rRNA from 1 species
AGGGAAUCUUCCACAAUGGACGCAAGUCUGAUGGAGCAACGCCGCGUGAGUGAAGAAGGCUUUCGGGUCGUAAAACUCUGUUAUUGAAGAAGAACGUGCGUGACAGUAACUGGUCAUGCAGUGACGGUAUUCAAUCAGAAAGUCACGGCUAACUAUGUGCCAGCAGCCGCGGUAAUACGUAGGUGGCAAGCGUUGUCCGGAUUUA